AAUCCUUCCUUCAUAUAAUCUUCUAAAUGUAAAAAUUAAAAAAGUCCUCCUUAUUCAAAAAGGAAAAUUUAAAGAUUAAUUUUCAUUCUUAACUUUAUUAAUUUUAGCUGUUCAAAAGUCUGUUUAAGAAGCAACUCGCAACACCACAUAAAGUGAGGACACAUUUAGUGAGAUUUUUUUCUUACACUGCUUCAUGUUGUAAACCAUUCCUUAUUUUUUGUUCCGAAUUCGCGCCCCUUUCUCCCUGCCCCCUAGAAAUUACUAACGCCCCAAUAGGGAAACGAGUUUCAACCCCAUCCACCUCCCAGUUAAGAACUGCUGCACUAGCAAUAUCUCAAUGCCCUCUACAGUCAACCGCCAUCAACACAACCACUUUCACUUUUGCCAACGCUACCAGCAGAAAGCCUCUCCUAGCGUUCCUAGAUGACACUGUAGGACCACUAACAGGUCUCUCAUAACUUCCUCAGAUGGUACUGCAGCACCACCAGCAGGAGGCUUCAUUUAGUCCCCCAGAUGGCCCUGUAGCACCACCAGCAGGAAGCCUCUCCUAGCACCCUCAGAUGGUACUGUAGCACCACUAAUAGGUCUCUCCUAGCACCCCAAGAUGGAUCUGUAUCACCACCAGCAGGUCUCUCCAAGCACCACCAGAUGGCUCUGUAGCACCACUAGCAGGUCUUUUCUAGCACCAUCAGAUGGUUUUGCAGGGCCAUCAGCAGGUCUCUCCUAGCACCUCCAGAUGCCACUGUAGCACAAGCAGCAGGUCUCUCCUAGCACCCCCAGACGGCAUUAUAGCACCACCAUGUCUCUCCUAGCACCUCCGGGUAGCUCUGUAGCACCUCCAGUGAAAGGCCUCAUUUAGUCUCCCAGAUGGUAUUGCAGCAGCACAAGCAGGUUUAACCUAACACCCCGCAAGUGGUAUUGCAGCACCACUACCUAGAACCUUCACUUAGCACCACCACCAACAAGA